UACGUAGGGGGCGAGCGUUGUCCGGAUUUAUUGGGCGUAAAGAGCUCGUAGGCGGUUCGAUAAGUCGGACGUGAAAUCUCCACGCUCAACGUGGAGGGGCCGUUCGAUACUGUCGUGACUCGAGUCCGGUAGGGGAGUGUGGAAUUCCCGGUGUAGCGGUGAAAUGCGCAGAGAUCGGGAGGAACACCCGUAGCGAAGGCGGCACUCCGGGCCGGUACUGACGCUGAGGAGCGAAAGCGUGGGGAGCAAACAGG
rnacentral:rRNA from 1 species